rnacentral:tRNA from 1 species
GAUAGGGUGGCUGAAGUUUAGGCGGUAAAUUGUAAAUUUACUUAUGGUAAUUAACCCCCUUUCA